AUGAGACGGGUGCUGAAAGCUGAGUUGGACUGGUCCCUGGAGUUAGAAGGGCAUUAUUUUGUUCAAGUAAUUUAGCAAAAGCUGAACCAGUAUCUAAAAGCUGCUUGUCUGGGAGAAAAUCUGCACAGACACUGAUGAGGAAAUGGAAAUUCCAGGCACACAGAGCCAGGGCCACCAGGCGCACCAGGGCCACCUGGGCCACCAGGACCACAAGAGGCAUCAGGGCCACCGGGGCCACCGGGGCCACCAGGGGCAGGAGUCAAACCCCAGAUCUGGAGAUAUUCUGAGUAGGGUUGGGGAGAGACCAGAAGCCAGUCCCAGGCUACACUGUGUUCCAGACAGGAAUACACCCUGACUCUGUGAAGAAUAUCCUGUUAAAUGAAGACAAGAAGGAUGCCAUAACAUUCAAUAAUUAAGGGAAAGAGAAAAUGCACAUUUUUGGGAAAGAAAACCUGACUCUUAAUGGGAAGAUAAAAGCAUUUUCAUGACUCAACAACUUUUCCUUCUGAUAACAAUCAAAACUUCCCCAAGCU